GGUUGUUUGUUGAGUGGCUGCGAUUUGGGGGCGUUUAAGAGAGGGGCUGGUGAGAGGAGUGACCGGGAUGGAUGGUCGGGCAGAUGCCAGCGCUGGGGUGAGCAGCGACAGGACAGCAGGAGCCCAUGGACUAGAGGAGGGGAGUGCCCGGUUGGUGUGUGAGCAGCACCCGGAGCAGCCCGAGCUGAGCCGAGCCGAGCUGAGCUGAGCCGAGCUGA